AUCUACCGUUCCACACUGUCCCUCCAAGCCAAGGUUUCAGAAGUACUUGAAAAGGCUGCCUCCAAUUAAUGGUUUUGGGAAGUUUAGUAGGUGGGUGUUGAGACUUGCCCAUCUGCAGGGCUCCAUCUGUCCUCCAUCCAGCCAAUAGCAGCAGUAGCUCCCAAGGGCAAUUCCCAGCCUCUAUGUAGUUCCCACUGAACUAGCAACAAACGACACUGAAAUUACAGGUCUUGGUCACGCACACGUAGAUCAAAUGGGAGGUAAGGCGAGCACACUAAGCAAAAACCACACUGAGACAACCCAAACUGACAGGCCACCUAGUGAAUCAUGCUACCCCAGAGCCAAUGGCAAAAAUUCUUAUUUCCUUUCCUCUGUAGCAGGAAGUGCAGAGUAUUUCCUGUCCGUCUUGGGUUUCUGUCUCAUGGGUUUUCCAGUGAAGGUCACCAUUUUGAGGGGAUGGGGAAAUUUCAGAGUUACAAAUCUCAUUUAGAAGCCUUUGGAAGAGAGGCCUGUAUGAGACUGGACCACCAAGCCAGCUGGGAACAGACAGGCUCACAGACGAUGCAGGCAUGGCAUGAGCCCAGUUAUUCAGGGAUACCCUGAUCCGACUUGUUCACUUUCAAAACCUACGUUGGCUUGUAGCAGUAGCAAGACCUUUCCUGUGCCCAUCCUUCUUCCCAGCAGUAAAUGAAAUGUCAUGGUGGACAGAUGCAAAGCUUAACUGUUUACAAUUAUCUUCGCUCAGAUCACUAUACCAUCAGCAACCACAGAACACUGUGAUGGACAAAAACCAAAGGGAGGGGUAUACUAGUCAAGGCUCUGUGCAAGCAAGUUUCCCAGCACUAUUUCAAGCACCAAGUUUGAGACAUUCUACUUAAAAGGUUCUGCUCCUUCCACCAGCAUUACAAAUUGUAACGCCUUCUUCUGAAUACACUUGGGCAAAGUAUUUAACAUUACUACUACUGUAGAAUUUCUGGACACAAACAGCCAUCACUCCCUGAACAAAUUGAAAUUACUGCAUGAAAACAUGAACUAGACUAGAUACAUGCUGCUAAAAAGUUUCCUUGCAUCGGCAAAAGGCAACAGAAAUAAAAUGACAGUAAUACAAGCAAAUAAAAAUAAUAAUGUGCAACAAUAAAACCACUUAGGGAUCUUUGUACUUCCCUUCAGUUUAAUAAUCUCAACAACAUCUAAAGAAUACUAGAAGGGUUCAGUGUUUAUUUGACAAAUAGGCAACUGUUAAUUUUUAAAUUUGAUCCACUAAGAAAAACAAAUAGCAAUCUGUGUUUAAAACAAUUUUCAGCACUACUUUUCCUUGAGUCCACCAGAUAAUUUCUGCAAUUUUACACAUAAUUUUCUUCACUUUUGAAUAGUUUUCUCUCCCUAGUUAUUCCUCUAGAUCUUGAUCCCCCACUGACCAAGUUUUAGAGGACCCUGGCCUCCAGGAUGUUAGUACAAAUUCCUGUUCCUUUUAUGUAACCCUCUAGCAGUGGAGAGAGAGACUGCACAUACAAUAUACCCUUUGUGCUAUCAGAUGGUGUACACAAGAGGCUCCUUUAUUCAUGAAAAUCAGAGUCCAUAACUAACUAACUGGCUCUUCAGAAGAAGUGAAACCAUGUUCACAACAAACACCAUCAAAUAUAUAUACUACAACAAGAAAAGAAAAACUGACUAUCACUUGUUUUCUACCACAGUAUCUUAGAUAGAACUUUUUAACUGCACUGCAGUCUCCUAAAUGUGAAUGUUUGGAAACACUGGAACAUCUAGAACAUUUUUUAAAUUCAAGCACUCCCACAAGGCUCAUUGGAAGACUUCAGGAAAUUGCCUUGUACUUAACAAUAUCUGGAAAACAUAAACCACACUACUGCAAGGCAGUUUCUCUCCUCUGCUGCAUGUCCUGCAACACGACAUCAGAACCGAAAACAAGUGCUGACAAGACAAGAGUCCAUGUUUUACCCUGAGUUUAAUCCCAGCUUGCCUCCAUCGGCAGUGCAGUCAGAGAUGGAUAAAAUCAAACACUGUGACAAACACAGCAUUAAAGAGGCAAAGAAAGGCCUGGUACUCUCCCUGCUUGUUUAUACUGGAAAAUAAACUCUGUUUCAAGUGAGAGGCUGAACCGGGAGCUUGACACCUACAGCUGACCAACCCCAUACGCCAAGCAAACAUUUGCACAGGCAAAAAUCAGCAGAAGCUGGGUGCAGUGACCCGGGCAGAAAACACCAGGGCCCCGAGCUGCUGAACAGGCAGCAGCCACCGAUUCAUCAGGUUCCAAAACAACAUGACACAGCCCCUCCACAGCCCAACUCACCACCGCAGGACCUCUGCCCAAAGGAAAUCCAGAGCCUAAAGUUCAUCAAGCUCUCUGCACAGACAGCUGAAGUGAAUGUGAAAGUCAGGAGUGAUAAAUCCAGUACACAGCAGAUUUCCCCUUUCUGUCCUUGCCAGUUGACGAAAGGAAAAUCUUCCCACAGUGAAAGACGUAGCCAUUGCACCUUUCCCGGGAUGGUGUCCUCAGCAUUCCUCCUGUCUCCUGCCCUCUGAAGAAUCUGAAAUUGUGCAAUCUGGCUCCUCCUCUCCUGUUUGCUGCAGGGUGCAGCUGUUGCACCACUGUUCACACUGACUGCAGGCUGCCUGGCGCAUGGUACCUCUGCACUGUGCUUCCAGUGCAGAUGAGACCUCGAUGAAGGAUCUCGCUGCUGACCUGCCCUCGGAGGUGGCUUAUCAUUCUCAGGGUAACAGAGGUUUGCACUGCGUGCUCAGUUAUAACCAAUCUAUGCAAUGCAGCAUGCUAUGCCAUGUCGCCUGGUGCUGGCUCCAUGUAAUUGCAGAUGGAGGUUCCAGCCUACAAAGCAUCAGACCUCCUGGAUCAGGACUAAGUAUGUGCUUUGAUGCUGUGUUUGUACCCGCUGGGAAGCCCUCCAUCAGGUCAGUGAUGGUAAGGAGUGCCUUGUGGGAAGCUAAGGCACUUGGAUCUUCUCCUUUUGCUUCCAAUUCAGUAAAAAACUCCUGGAAUCAAAACCUGUAUUUUUGAUGUAUUGUAUUUUAUCUCCCCUCUUUCUACUCUAUAAAUAAGAAGUGCUGUGCAUGGAUUUUCAGUUAAGACAUGUGCAAAGGAGAUGAAAAAUGGAUGUGAUUGAAUGAACAGGCUAAGAACA